rnacentral:rRNA from 1 species
AUACGGAGGGGGCUAGCGUUGUUCGGAAUCACGGGGCGUAAAGCGCGCGUAGGCGGUUUAUCAAGUUGGGCGUGAAAGCCCGGGGCUCAACCCCGGAAUAGCGCCCAAAACUGGUUGACUCGAGUCCGAGAGAGGAUGGCGGAAUUCCCAGUGUAGAGGUGAAAUUCGUAGAUAUUGGGAAGAACACCAGUGGCGAAGGCGGCCAUCUGGCUCGGUACUGACGCUGAGGCGCGAAAGCGUGGGGAGCAAACAGGAUUAGAUACCCCAGUAGUCC